rnacentral:lncRNA from 1 species
GGCGCCGAGGCGGAGGGCGGCGAUGGGGGCCCGGGGCGGCGGGCGCCGCACUCGCUGAGGCCCCGACGCAGGGCCGGGCCGGGCCCAGGCCGCGCGCGCCGACGCGAGAACCGCGACCAGCAGGUGGAGUGCAGGCCCUGCAGGUCGGACACCCUUGAGGACAGCCAUCGCCUGGCCCUGCUAGCCUGUGCCUUGGGUCAGCCUCUCUGAGCCAGGCACAACAAUGCAUCUCCUCCCUGAGUGAGAACCGUGGUGUCCGGGCCCCAGGCCUGUGCCUCCUCCACACUUACACCGACCACUUGCCCUGUGUUUCCAGGACGGCUGUUCUCAGUGAAGGACCGUGCGGCCG